CGGCGGAGCUGGACCCGUUCUGCACGCCGCACCAGGGGCGCGGUCACUACUGGGUCAGCCCCCAGCGCUCCCAGACCUCGGGCUCCUCCUGGAGGGACUCGCGCCGCCGCGUCCUCAUCGUCCCCGGCAACACCGGCUUCUCCGACGUCUUCUCCACCCAGAGCGCCGGCUGCUGCCGUCUGCACCACACGCUGGUGUGGAAGUACCGCUGGCAGAAACUGAAAGAGCGCAUUAGGGCCUACCAAAACAGAUGAGAGAUAAGAAGAAAUCCCUCCUUUCUGAUGAAUACUGGAGAUGGGAAGGCAACAAUGGAACAUGUGUGACGUGAUGUGAUUUGAUGUGAUGUGUUUGUAAUGAAUGUAUUAAAUUGAGAGCUCAGUGAGAACAGGCUGUGACUAAUGCUAAUGACAGUUGAGGAUGCAUAUGGAGAUGUUUCUACCAGAGAGGUCUGUGUACAGAGGGAAUGAAAUAGUCACGGUUGUCUGCAAAAUGAUUGCUACAUGCUAACUGUCUCAUUGAAGGCCAUUUGAGGUCCUCUUGAGCUUGAG